rnacentral:lncRNA from 1 species
UCAACUUCAUUAUCCUUAAUCCAGAAGAGCGAGAGUAGAAAGGUCAGUUUCCGUAUAACUCAAAUAUUUGGAAACUGGGACAAAUAUGAUAUCUACAUUCCUCAGAAGCUUGCAGACAAAACACAUAGUUACCUGGAUUUUAUGGAAAACGAAUCACUAAUUGUCAUGAAAAGUUGCCUGGGAUGGAAGUUUUCUCCUCAAUGAGAAAAAUAUACUUGAAUGACUACUGGUCAAAUGGGAAUUGAUUUGUCAUCGAAUGUAAAGCAUGAUUAUUUUCUUAUGCACAGGCAGGGUACAGGACCCAGAAGGGAGCAUAAGGUCCCCCUGAAUUGGAGUUAUGGAUGGAAGGUUGUGAACUACCAGGUGAGAUGAGGUAAAUUGGCUUCCUCAACCAAGUAUUUCUGCCAUUAUUUGCCUCAGGCCAAAACAGCAUGGAAAGUGAACAAAGAAUCUCUGAAACCAUGAGUUAAGGUGUUUCUCAGAGGAAAGGAUCCAGAUAAAGCUGUCUCUUGUGAGACUAUGCCGGGGCCUAGCAAACAGAAGUGGAUGCUCACAGU